CAAGUCGAACGGGAAUCUUCGGAUUCUAGUGGCGGACGGGUGAGUAACGCGUAAGAAUCUAACUUCAGGACGGGGACAACAGUUGGAAACGACUGCUAAUACCCGAUAUGCCGCGAGGUGAAACCUAAUUGGCCUGAAGAAGAGCUUGCGUCUGAUUAGCUAGUUGGUGGGGUAAGAGCCUACCAAGGCGACGAUCAGUAGCUGGUCUGAGAGGAUGAGCAGCCACACUGGGACUGAGACACGGCCCAGACUCCUACGGGAGGCAGCAGUGGGGAAUUUUCCGCAAUGGGCGAAAGCCUGACGGAGCAACGCCGCGUGAGGGAGGAAGGUCUUUGGAUUGUAAACCUCUUUUCUCAAGGAAGAAGUUCUGACGGUACUUGAGGAAUCAGCCUCGGCUAACUCCGUGCCAGCAGCCGCGGUAAUACGGGGGAGGCAAGCGUUAUCCGGAAUUAUUGGGCGUAAAGCGUCCGCAGGUGAUCAGCCAAGUCUGCUGUCAAAUCAGGUUGCUUAACGACCUAAAGGCGGUGGAAACUGGCAGACUAGAGAGCAGUAGGGGUAGCAGGAAUUCCCAGUGUAGCGGUGAAAUGCGUAGAGAUUGGGAAGAACAUCGGUGGCGAAAGCGUGCUACUGGGCUGUAUCUGACACUCAGGGACGAAAGCUAGGGGAGCGAAAGGGAUUAGAUACCCCUGUAGUCCUAGCCGUAAACGAUGGAUACUAGGCGUGGCUUGUAUCGACCCGAGCCGUGCCGAAGCUAACGCGUUAAGUAUCCCGCCUGGGGAGUACGCACGCAAGUGUGAAACUCAAAGGAAUUGACGG
rnacentral:rRNA from 1 species